GUUUAUUUGAUGGUACCUUACUACAUGGAUAACUGUGGUAAUUCUAGAGCUAAUACAUGCUUGUCGUCUAUUAGUUGUUGGAAGUAGAGUAGAGAGUGGACUAUGUCGGGAGACGUAGUAGUUCAUGGAAGUUUCUGGCCUAUCAGCUGGACGGUAGUGUAUUGGACUACCGAGGCAGUGACGGGUGACGGGGAAUUAGGGUUCGAUUCCGGAGAGGGAGCCUGAGAAACGGCUACCACAUCCAAGGAAGGCAGCAGGCGCGCAAAUUACCCAAUCCUGACUCAGGGAGGUAGUGACAAGAAAUAACAAUACAGGGCUUUUACAAGUCUUGUAAUUGGAAUGAGUACAACUUAAAUCCUUUAACGAGGA
rnacentral:rRNA from 1 species